CAGGAUAAGAGGAAUGAAGGCAAACUAAAAUUCCAUAUUGGCGGUUGUCUACCAAUGCUUCCGGUAAUUUACAUGGACCACAUUGACAUCCCAAGAGGAUGUAUAGUUGAUCAUACCAUCGAUUAUUCUCUGCCACGGGCUUGUUUUGUGAAGGAGUUGGAUUUCACCGCUGUUAUUGCAGUUGAUACCAUUGAAGAUGGUUUCGGGAAGCGCCCUUUCAGCUCCACUUCACCUUACGCAACAACCAAG